AUUGAACGCUGGCGGAAUGCUUUACACAUGCAAGUCGAACGGCAGCACGGGGGCAACCCUGGUGGCGAGUGGCGAACGGGUGAGUAAUACAUCGGAACGUGCCCAGUCGUGGGGGAUAACGUAGCGAAAGUUACGCUAAUACCGCAUACGAUCUACGGAUGAAAGCGGGGGACCGUAAGGCCUCGCGCGAUUGGAGCGGCCGAUGUCAGAUUAGGUAGUUGGUGAGGUAAAGGCUCACCAAGCCGACGAUCUGUAGCUGGUCUGAGAGGACGACCAGCCACACUGGGACUGAGACACGGCCCAGACUCCUACGGGAGGCAGCAGUGGGGAAUUUUGGACAAUGGGCGCAAGCCUGAUCCAGCCAUUUCGCGUGCAGGACGAAGGCCUUCGGGUUGUAAACUGCUUUUGUACGGAACGAAAAGGCUCUGGUUAAUACCUGGGGCUCAUGACGGUACUGUAAGAAUAAGCACCGGCUAACUACGUGCCAGCCGCCGCAGUAA
rnacentral:rRNA from 1 species